rnacentral:rRNA from 1 species
UACGUAGGGAGCAAGCGUUGUCCGGAAUCAUUGGGCGUAAAGCGCGCGUAGGCGGCCUCGUAAGUCCGUUGUGAAAGUCAAAGGCUCAACCUUUGAAAGCCGAUGGAUACUGUGAGGCUAGAGUCCGGAAGAGGCGAGUGGAAUUCCUGGUGUAGCGGUGGAAUGCGCAGAUAUCAGGAGGAACACCAAUAGCGAAGGCAGCUCGCUGGGACGGUACUGACGCUAAGGCGAGAAAGCGUGGGGAGCGAACAGG